rnacentral:rRNA from 1 species
UGGCGGCCUCGGGUCCAUCCCGAGGCCACGCCCGUCUGAGGGUCGGCGAGUCAGAUAAGCUAUCGUCUCCUUUCGUGGCUACAGGAUUCCGCACAGAAGGCGUCCGCUUCUUUCGAAAAUUUCUUGCUCUGAAAUGACGAUGGGAUGGGUUGCUACAAUGUGUUUGGGGACCGUGGAGGCGCUUUGGGUUUUCGCGGAUCUUUUGUGAUCUCCGUUACUUUAAGUGCAUGCUGCGCCGUCCGUCAUCUCGUGACGUCUCGGUGCCCGGAACAGCUCUUUUUUGUUUUCCGGGCACUAGAGACAGCGCGAGAGAAGUUUUAUUUCUCUCCUAACCGACGCCGCCGGCCGUCGUGCUGGACUCGGAUUGAUCGGAUAUCAUCGAGCCGCCGGCGUGCUGGAAGCUGCGUGGGAGAAAUGAAGCUCAUGGCGGCGCCCAGUUAAAAACAAAACAAGUGCGUUUGUUCGUAUAGCGCUGCUUACUUUUGUUUCACAUAUCCGACCUCAGAUCGGACGAGAUUACCCGCUGAAUUUAAGCAUAUUACUAAGCGGAGGAAAAGAAACUAACAAGGAUUCCCUCAGUAACGGCGAGUGAAGCGGGAAUAGCCCAGCACCGAAUCCCUCAGUGUCAUGCUGACGGGAACUGUGGUGUGUGGGACGCCACCAGUCGCAUCAGAGGGCGCCGAAGUCCUCCUGAUCGGGGCUUCACCCAGAGCGGGUGUAAGGCCUUUGCGGGUGCCUCUCUGUGCGGCCGCGAGCGUCUCAGGAGUCGGGUUGUUUGGGAAUGCAGCCCAAAGCGGGUGGUAAACUCCAUCUAAGGCUAAAUACUGGCACGAGUCCGAUAGCGGA